UUGAUCCUGGCUCAGGACGAACGCUGGCGGCGUGCCUAACACAUGCAAGUCGAGCGAUGAAGUUCCUUCGGGAACGGAUUAGCGGCGGACGGGUGAGUAACACGUGGGCAACCUGCCUUAUAGAGGGGAAUAGCCUUCCGAAAGGAAGAUUAAUACCGCAUAAGAUUGUAGCUUCGCAUGAAGUAGCAAUUAAAGGAGCAAUCCGCUAUAAGAUGGGCCCGCGGCGCAUUAGCUAGUUGGUGAGGUAACGGCUCACCAAGGCGACGAUGCGUAGCCGACCUGAGAGGGUGAUCGGCCACAUUGGGACUGAGACACGGCCCAGACUCCUACGGGAGGCAGCAGUGGGGAAUAUUGCACAAUGGGGGAAACCCUGAUGCAGCAACGCCGCGUGAGUGAUGACGGCCUUCGGGUUGUAAAGCUCUGUCUUUGGGGACGAUAAUGACGGUACCCAAGGAGGAAGCCACGGCUAA
rnacentral:rRNA from 1 species